CUCAACUUUGAUCCCUUAUUGUGACCCGUUGUGGGGUGUUAAAAAAGUUUAUUGAUGAGUUAUGACAAGUCUUUGUGGUGAGACUGAGAACGAUGAGGUGGGGGAGGAAGGUAUGAAGGUGGAGCCAUUGUGUGCACAAAGUGGUUGCUACUGGUGGUGAGUAAAUCAACACCUGAUG
ensembl:ncRNA T07D4.6 ncRNA